rnacentral:rRNA from 1 species
GCUGGCGGCGUGCUUAACACAUGCAAGUCGAACGAACCUUCGGGUUAGUGGCGGACGGGUGAGUAACGCGUGGGAAUCUGCCCUCAGGAGGGGGAUAACGGUUGGAAACGACCGCUAAUACCCCAUAUGCCGAGAGGUGAAAUGAAUUUCGCCUGAGGAUGAGCCCGCGUCUGAUUAGCUAGUUGGUGAGGUAAUGGCUCACCAAGGCAUCGAUCAGUAGCUGGUCUGAGAGGAUGAUCAGCCACACUGGGACUGAGACACGGCCCAGACUCCUACGGGAGGCAGCAGUGGGGAAUUUUCCGCAAUGGGCGCAAGCCUGACGGAGCAACGCCGCGUGAGGGAUGAAGGCCUCUGGGCUGUAAACCUCUUUUCUCAAGGAAGAAGAUCUGACGGUACUUGAGGAAUAAGCCACGGCUAAUUCCGUGCCAGCAGCCGCGGUAAUACGGGAGUGGCAAGCGUUAUCCGGAAUUAUUGGGCGUAAAGCGUCCGCAGGCGGCUUUUCAAGUCUGCUGUUAAAACGUGGAGCUUAACUCCAUCAAGGCAGUGGAAACUGAUUGGCUUGAGUGUGGUAGGGGCAGAGGGAAUUCCCGGUGUAGCGGUGAAAUGCGUAGAUAUCGGGAAGAACACCAGUGGCGAAGGCGCUCUGCUGGGCCAUAACUGACGCUCAUGGACGAAAGCCAGGGGAGCGAAAGGGAUUAGAUACCCCUGUAGUCCUGGCCGUAAACGAUGAACACUAGGUGUCGGGGGAAUCGACCCCCUCGGUGUCGUAGCCAACGCGUUAAGUGUUCCGCCU